rnacentral:rRNA from 1 species
AUUGAACGCUGGCGGCAUGCUUUACACAUGCAAGUCGAACGGCAGCACGGGGGCAACCCUGGUGGCGAGUGGCGAACGGGUGAGUAAUGCAUCGGAACGUGCCCAGUAGUGGGGGAUAACACAUCGAAAGAUGUGCUAAUACCGCAUACGCACUACGGUGGAAANCGGGGGAUCGUAAGACCUCGCGCUAUUGGAGCGGCCGAUGUCCGAUUAGCUAGUUGGUGGGGUAAUGGCCUACCAAGGCAACGAUCGGUAGCUGGUCUGAGAGGAUGAUCAGCCACACUGGGACUGAGACACGGCCCAGACUCCUACGGGAGGCAGCAGUGGGGAAUUUUGGACAAUGGGGGCAACCCUGAUCCAGCCAUGCCGCGUGAGUGAAGAAGGCCUUCGGGUUGUAAAGCUCUUUCGGUGGGAACGAAAUGGCGCGGGCUAACACCGCGCGUCGAUGACGGUACUCACAGAAGAAGCACCGGCUAACUACGUGCCAGCCGCCGCGGUAAUUC